UGCCUAGUAGUGGGGGAUAACGUCCGGAAACGGGCGCUAAUACCGCAUACGUCCUACGGGAGAAAGUGGGGGAUCUUCGGACCUCACGCUAUUAGAUGAGCCUAGGUCGGAUUAGCUAGUUGGUGAGGUAAUGGCUCACCAAGGCGACGAUCCGUAACUGGUCUGAGAGGAUGAUCAGUCACACUGGAACUGAGACACGGUCCAGACUCCUACGGGAGGCAGCAGUGGGGAAUAUUGGACAAUGGGCGAAAGCCUGAUCCAGCCAUGCCGCGUGUGUGAAGAAGGUCUUCGGAUUGUAAAGCACUUUAAGUUGGGAGGAAGGGCAGUUACCUAAUACGUGAUUGUUUUGACGUUACCGACAGAAUAAGCACCGGCUAACUCUGUGCCAGCAGCCGCGGUAAUACAGAGGGUGCAAGCGUUAAUCGGAAUUAC
rnacentral:rRNA from 1 species